GCAACCCGCCUGCAUGAAGUUGGAAUCGCUAGUAAUCGCGGAUCAGCAUGCCGCGGUGAAUACGUUCCCGGGCCUUGUACACACCGCCCGUCACACCAUGAGAGUCGGGAACACCCGAAGUCCGUAGCCUGACCGCAAGGGGGCGCGGCCGAAGGCAGGCCUGGUGACUGGGGUGAAGUCGUAACAAGGUACC
rnacentral:rRNA from 1 species